AACAACUCUCAGCAACGGAUAUCUCGGCUCUUGCAUCGAUGAAGAACGCAGCGAAAUGCGAUAAGUGGUGUGAAUUGCAGAAUCCCGUGAACCAUCGAGUCUUUGAACGCAAGUUGCGCCCAAGGCCAUCAGGCCAAGGGCACGCCUGCCUGGGCAUUGCGA
rnacentral:rRNA from 1 species